GCUGCUCAACGAGACGGACGCGUACAUGAGCGUCAUCCACCUGUCGCGGCUGGUGCAGCAGGGCCUCUGGGACGACGCCGUCGCCUACGUCUCCCGCUUCCUGCGCCCGGCCUCGCACCCGCAGAGCGACGAGGCCCAGGUGCUCCUCCACUUCCUCAUGCAACAUGCGGCCUUCGCCAGCAUGGUCGCCGGCAAGCCCGACCGCAACCUCAGCUACUUCAACAGCAGGUUCAACACAAGGUACCUCAAGCACGACGACUCCGUCUCCCCCGACACCAUCCGGAUCCGCUCCAUCGUCCUCUCCAUUCUCCAUUCGGAGCAAGCCAG
rnacentral:lncRNA from 1 species